AGAGUUUGAUCCUGGCUCAGGACGAACGCUGGCGGCGUGCCUAACACAUGCAAGUCGAACGAGGUCCAUGAGAGCUUGCUCUCGGAAGACCUAGUGGCGAACGGGUGAGUAACACGUGAGAAACCUGCCUUGGAGUGGGGAAUAACUCGGGGAAACUCGAGCUAAUACCGCAUACCUUCCUUUGAUCGCAUGGUCAGCUGAAGAAAGAAUUUCGCUCCAAGAGGGUCUCGCGGCCUAUCAGUUUGUUGGUGGGGUAACGGCCUACCAAGACUACGACGGGUAGCUGGUUUGAGAGAACGAUCAGCCACACUGGAACUGAGACACGGUCCAGACUCCUACGGGAGGCAGCAGUGGGGAAUCUUGCGCAAUGGGCGAAAGCCUGACGCAGCAACGCCGCGUGCGGGAUGAAGGCCUUCGUGGUUGUAAACCCCUUUCAGCAGGGACGAAACUGACGGUACCUGCAGAAGAAGCCCCGGCCAACUACGUGCCAGCAGCCGCGGUAAU
rnacentral:rRNA from 1 species